rnacentral:rRNA from 1 species
ACGGAAGGCAGCAGUGAGGAAUAUUGGUCAAUGGACGCAAGUCUGAACCAGCCAUGCCGCGUGCAGGAAUAAGGCCCUAUGGGUCGUAAACUGCUUUUGUGGUGGAGCAAUAAGUCGUACGUGUACGGCGAUGAGAGUACAUCACGAAUAAGCAUCGGCUAACUCCGUGCCAGCAGCCGCGGUAAUACGGAGGAUGCAAGCGUUAUCCGGAUUUAUUGGGUUUAAAGGGUGCGUAGGCUGUGGUCCAAGUCAGGGGUGAAAGCCCAGAGCUCAACUCCGGAACUGCCUUUGAUACUGGAUUGCUGGAAUACGGAUGCCGUGGGAGGAAUGAGUAGUGUAGCGGUGAAAUGCAUAGAUAUUACUCAGAACACCGAUUGCGAAGGCAUCUCACGAAUCCGUCAUUGACGCUGAGGCACGAAAGCGUGGGGAUCAAACAGGAUUAGAUACCCUGGUA